AGUGGGCUGGAGUUGAGCAGAGUUCAGAGUUCUCCUAGCUAGGGGCAUACUCUGGAGUACGCAAAUCCAACAGUCCUGACAGAGGAAAGCAGCUUCCUGUAUAGUUGACCUGGAAGGUCAACUUCUUGUCAGAGUUUUACAUGAAUUAUUUUUAUGGUGGAAAUAGAUGUAAAUGUUCCACCAAAAAUGAUUUUUAUCAGGAACUGUCACAGCCACCUCAACCUUCAGCAACCACCACUGUUCAAGGCAACAUCCUUCAGCAGCAGAAAGAUUGACUCGCUGUAGGCUCAGACAUGGGGCCUCACUAUGUUUCACAGGCUGGUCUAAAACUCCUGAGCUCCAGGGAUCUGCCUGCCUCCGCUUCCCAAAGUGGUGGGAUUGUAGGCAUGAGCCAUCAUGCCUGGCCUGCUGUGAGUUUUAAAUAAAAAUGUAAAUGCUCUUCUCCA
rnacentral:lncRNA from 10 species